AGAGUUUGAUCCUGGCUCAGGACGAACGCUGGCGGCGUGCCUAACACAUGCAAGUCGAACGGGGUAAUUUCUUCGGAGGUUACUUAGUGGCGAACGGGUGAGUAACGCGUGAGAAACCUGCCUUUCAGUGGGGGACAACAGUUGGAAACGACUGCUAAUACCGCAUAAUGUUAUUUGGGGGCAUCCCUGAAUAACCAAAGAUUUAUUGCUGAAAGAUGGUCUCGCGUCUGAUUAGCUAGAUGGCGGGGUAACGGCCCACCAUGGCGACGAUCAGUAGCCGGUCUGAGAGGAUGAACGGCCACAUUGGGACUGAGAUACGGCCCAGACUCCUACGGGAGGCAGCAGUGGGGAAUAUUGGGCAAUGGGCGAAAGCCUGACCCAGCAACGCCGCGUGAAGGAAGAAGGCCUUCGGGUUGUAAACUUCUUUUAGCAGGGACGAAAACUGACGGUACCUGCAGAAAAAGCAACGGCUAACUACGUGCCAGCAGCCGCGGUAAUACGUAGGUUGCAAGCGUUGUCCGGAUUUACUGGGUGUAAAGGGCGUGUAGGCGGAGAUGCAAGUUGGGAGUGAAAUCCCGGGGCUCAACCCCGGAACUGCUUUCAAAACUGUAUCCCUUGAGUGUCGGAGAGGCAAGCGGAAUUCCUAGUGUAGCGGUGAAAUGCGUAGAUAUUAGGAGGAACACCAGUGGCGAAGGCGGCUUGCUGGACGAUAACUGACGCUGAGGCGCGAAAGCGUGGGGAGCAAACAGGAUUAGAUACCCUGGUAGUCCACGCUGUAAACGAUGAAUACUAGGUGUGGGAGGACUGACCCCUUCCGUGCCG
rnacentral:rRNA from 1 species